rnacentral:rRNA from 1 species
UACGUAAGGGGCAAGCGUUGUCCGGAUUUAUUGGGCGUAAAGAGCGUGUAGGCGGCCAGGUAGGUCAGCUGUGAAAACUCGAGGCUCAACCUCGAGACGCCGGUUGAAACCAUCUGGCUAGAGUCCGGAAGAGGAGAGUGGAAUUCCUGGUGUAGCGGUGAAAUGCGCAGAUAUCAGGAAGAACACCCGUGGCUAAGGCGGCUCUCUAGUACGGUACUGACGCUGAGACGCGAAAGCGUGGGGAGCGAACAGG